AGAAGAUCGAGAGCGGGUUGGGCCAAUCAGGAACAGGGGCCUAUGGAGACAGCCCAUGUGAGGGUGUGGAGGGAGAGAGUGGUCUCCACGAAGAAGAUGAAGAGAUAGCUUCAGCUGCUACAGUGUUUUUGUUCAAGUGCAAGAGAAAACACACACGUGGGCCCGCGUGGAUGGCAGGUGGGGCAGUGGAGCUGAACGGACAGUAGAGUUUUCAGGUUUCCUCACGCCAAGGGCGUGAUCGGGGGUGCUUCUAGAAGCUUUUCCCUCAUUGUCCAUGCAUGUGUGCUGCCGUUUAAGAGUGAGAGCAAUUUGUGAUGAUUAUCCUGCGUUUAACUUUCACAAGCACACGCAUAUGUUGCCGAGAGUUUCAAGAUUUCUGGAUCUCACAUGCUUCUGUGAUCAAAGAUUUGGAGAAUUGACUUGUCAAAGUCAAUGGCCGGAGGUAAACGAAAACGAUUCGAGUGGCACCCAGCCUCGAUGUACUACCUCUACCAGUAUGUACGUAGGAAGAAAUCAACGCACGAGAUUUGUCCCGUCCAAGCAUUUCUCCGCGGAAUUGAAACGUCAAACGCAACUUGGCCUUGGACGUGGACGUGGCUGGAAGCAAGUAUCUAUCGAGACGAGUAGGAGCAGUUGUGAGAUCUACAACCAGAACACUCUGCUGCUGGCGGGUCUGCUCUAACCGAUCCCAACUGUUUGCGCGGUGGUGCGGCUGUGCCGGCCGUCAUCAUGGCUCGUGUAAAAACGCGUGCGGGCGGCGACGUGCGUUGCACCGGCCGGCCGGUUUAUGCAGUUCACCAGCCACUAGGGCCAGGCCACCGUGACGCCACGGUGGACUGUUAGGCUUGCCUAAUCGGAUCGGGAUCACGAGAGCUUAGCUGCUCACCUUUCUUCUCAUUAUAAAGUAGACGCUUCCGGUAGGCGGUCGCCAUGAUCGGCAGUGAAUCCAAUUCUGGACCAGCUACAUAUCACGCUAGACUAAUUAUUACCUCUGACACUCUCCCUGCUUUUAGUUUGCGACAUGCCAACGUGCUUCUAGAAGGCGAGGCAGUGGAGUGCUUCAACGUCUUCCAAAAGGAAAAGUGCUCACUGGUGACUGGAGUGCUUCAGCAGAAUAGAUGGCCGAAUCUUGAAUCUCAUGUCAUGUUGUGUGAGCCUGCUUGGGCGAUUUUUCCGCAGGAAAGACGAGCUUUCCUAGGCGAUGCACAUGCCCUGCCUUUGCUUGGCGAGUGGUGAAUUAUAGUGGACAAUUGCAUAGGCUGCAAGCUGGCUGACUACUGGUCGCUGUGAGUUAUGCAGAGGCAGCUACCGAUCAACGGCGAAGGAACAACGGUGGCACAACUCCGGGCCAGCGCUGUAGUCAUGGUGGACAUGCAGAGUCUGCUUGCAUUCCCCUCCAAGCAAAGCCUCGGCGUCCGUCACCGGCGCUGAAUCUGUAGCCGCCACACAAGCAACGGACCCGAGGAACCCGCCUCCGUCAGCCGGCCGGGGACGGGUUUAACAGCAAUGGCCGUGGCGCGCGGCUGCGGGAAGGGUCGGAGAAGUUGACGCGGCGUGGCGGGCAGGAACGGCCCACAUCCGCCACCCAUGCGCGACGUACGCACAGUACGCGACGUCGCAGGGGCUGGAAAAGUCCUGCUUGGCAUCCGCGUCCCGGGAUAAGAAAGCCACGUUGGCCGGCCGGCUGAGCUGUGGGCGGGCGCCGUGGGAAGACGUUGACAGGUGAUGGGAUUGGAUCUGGACGUGUUUAGCACACUAAAAUACUCACAUGAUGCCACCUCAGAAAAGAAAAAAGAAACUCACAUGAUGCUGAUCCUACCUCAAGUUACUUCACCAUUUUUUCCCCUAUAGGUUCGUGAGACACGGAUGAUUGGGUCUCCUUUACUGAUUUGUCGAUCUUCCGCUGACAGCCGGCUAUGCAAUCAGCAAUGUCCUUUUUAGAAGGGCGAUGGUAGGCGCCGGCGGAGCGGCGCUAGGUUCGGCCGGUCGCCCCGCAUUCAUUGGAUCACCUGCCCUCCGACGCACAGGAUUGCAGAUCACGAAGAUAAAUUGACGAUGCAUGGCUCAGAUGGUUAUUGCAAGGUUAAGAAUGGGGCUAGUACAAGAUAAUAAGAAUGUCAUAUCAGGAUAAAAUAAAUUAGAAUGACAUUUUUAGGGUCAAUGUUUCAAACAUUAUAGUUGAUUGCAAGGUCAAGAACUGGGUUACUGAUAGACAGUUUCACCUCUUGUAAUCUUUGGACCAUGUUAUUUGUAAUGCACAAUAGUCAAUUUAAUAUAUGAGAACUUUCUGUUUAUUA